rnacentral:rRNA from 1 species
GUAGGUGGGGUAACGGCUCACCUAGGCGACGAUCCCUAGCUGGUCUGAGAGGAUGACCAGCCACACUGGAACUGAGACACGGUCCAGACUCCUACGGGAGGCAGCAGUGGGGAAUAUUGCACAAUGGGCGCAAGCCUGAUGCAGCCAUGCCGCGUGUGUGAAGAAGGCCUUCGGGUUGUAAAGCACUUUCAGCGGGGAGGAAGGCGAUAAGGUUAAUAACCUUGUCGAUUGACGUUACCCGCAGAAGAAGCACCGGCUAACUCCGUGCCAGCAGCCGCGGUAAUACGGAGGGUGCAAGCGUUAAUCGGAAUUACUGGGCGUAAAGCGCACGCAGGCGGUCUGUCAAGUCGGAUGUGAAAUCCCCGGGCUCAACCUGGGAACUGCAUUCGAAACUGGCAGGCUAGAGUCUUGUAGAGGGGGGUAGAAUUCCAGGUGUAGCGGUGAAAUGCGUAGAGAUCUGGAGGAAUACCGGUGGCGAAGGCGGCCCCCUGGACAAAGACUGACGCUCAGGUGCGAAAGCGUGGGGAGCAAACAGGAUUAGAUACCCUGGUAGUCCACGCCGUAAACGAUGUCGAUUUGGAGGUUGUGCCCUUGAGGCGUGGCUUCCGGAGCUAACGCGUUAAAUCGACCGCCUGGGGAGUACGGCCGCAAGGUUAAAACUCAAAUGAAUUGACGGGGGCCCGCACAAGCGGUGGAGCAUGUGGUUUAAUUCGAUGCAACGCGAAGAACCUUACCUGGUCUUGACAUCCACAGAACUUACCAGAGAUGCAUUGGUGCCUUCGGGAACUGUGAGACAGGUGCUGCAUGGCUGUCGUCAGCUCGUGUUGUGAAAUGUUGGGUUAAGUCCCGCAACGAGCGCAACCCUUAUCCUUUGUUGCCAGCGGUCCGGCCGGGAACUCAAAGGAGACUGCCAGUGAUAAACUGGAGGAAGGUGGGGAUGACGUCAAGUCAUCAUGGCCCUUACGACCAGGGCUACACACGUGCUACAAUGGCAUAUACAAAGAGAAGCGACCUCGCGAGAGCAAGCGGACCUCAUAAAGUAUGUCGUAGUCCGGAUUGGAGUCUGCAACUCGACUCCAUGAAGUCGGAAUCGCUAGUAAUCGUAGAUCAGAAUGCUACGGUGAAUACGUUCCCGGGCCUUGUACACACCGCCCGUCACACCAUGGGAGUGGGUUGCAAAAGAAGUAGGUAGCUUAACCUUCGGGAGGGCGCUUACCACUUUGUGAUUCAUGACUGGGGUGAAGUCGUAACAAGGUAACCGUAGGGGAACCUGCGGUUGGAUCACCU